rnacentral:lncRNA from 1 species
AUUCUAACACUAUUGUUUCUUUUCUUAAUUUUGCAGUUUACAGAUGUUUCAAGACAGAAUUAGUAUCAAAUAUGGAAGAUAUUUUCUUGAUGAUGCCCACACCAUGUGCUUCAGAUGAGGUGGCAUGCUUUUUCACGAGGGUUUUUUAAGGCCUUGACCAUGGGUCCAAUCUAGUUGAACUUUAUCAAAAGGUCUUUUCUUCACAGAAUGUAAUAGUUCCAUCUCUGCCAAUGAUGUGAAUUUAUAUUUGCUUUUUGAUUUCAAAAAUGAAAAUAUAUUACCAGUUUACCGCCAAGAUCUGAACUGAGGCAGUACACAGUCAACUUCACACAACUUUUGCCUAAAUGUUCCUUUGUGUAUUCUAACACUAUUGUUUCUUUUCUUAAUUUUGCAGUUUACAGAUGUUUCAAGACAGAAUUAGUAUCAAAUAUGGAAGAUAUUUUCUUGAUGAUGCCCACACCAUGUGCUUCAGAUGAGGUGGCAUGCUUUUUCACGAGGGUUUUUUAAGGCCUUGACCAUGGGUCCAAUCUAGUUGAACUUUAUCAAAAGGUCUUUUCUUCACAGAAUGUAAUAGUUCCAUCUCUGCCAAUGAUGUGAAUUUAUAUUUGCUUUUUGAUUUCAAAAAUGAAAAUAUAUUACCAGUUUACCGCCAAGAUCUGAACUGAGGCAGUACACAGUCAACUUCACACAACCUUUGCCUAAAUGUUCCAAAUCUUACCUUUAUCUUUCACAGGCCAAUUCCUACCAUAAAUAUUCAUAUUCAGACUUGAAGCUUUUAUUUUGCCUGAAAUGUAGUUUUGCUUUAGCCUAAGAAGUAUUUGGUCACUUGUGUAUUCUAACACUAUUGUUUCUUUUCUUAAUUUUGCAGUUUACAGAUGUUUCGGGACAGAAUUAGUAUCAAAUAUGGAAGAUAUUUUCUUGAUGAUGCCCACACCAUGUGCUUUCAGAUGAGGUGGCAUGCUUUUUCACGAGGGGGUAAAUUACUCUGAAAAAAGCGUACAAAGAUUUUGGG